UACGUAGGUGGCAAGCGUUGUCCGGAUUUACUGGGCGUAAAGAGCGCGCAGGCGGCCAAGUCAGUCGAAUGUGAAAGCCCCCGGCUUAACUGGGGAGGGUCAUUCGAUACUGCCCGGCUCGAAGACAGGAGAGGGAAGUGGAAUUCCCGGUGUAGUGGUGAAAUGCGUAGAUAUCGGGAGGAACACCAGUGGCGAAGGCGACUUUCUGGCCUGUUCUUGACGCUGAGGCGCGAAAGCUAGGGGAGCAAACGGGG
rnacentral:rRNA from 1 species